UGCCAGCCGCCGCGGUAAUACGGAGGGUGCAAGCGUUAAUCGGAAUUACUGGGCGUAAAGCGCGCGUAGGUGGCUUGAUAAGCCGGUUGUGAAAGCCCCGGGCUCAACCUGGGAACGGCAUCCGGAACUGUCAGGCUAGAGUGCAGGAGAGGAAGGUAGAAUUCCCGGUGUAGCGGUGAAAUGCGUAGAGAUCGGGAGGAAUACCAGUGGCGAAGGCGGCCUUCUGGACUGACACUGACACUGAGGUGCGAAAGCGUGGGUAGCAAACAGGAUUAGAUACCCCAGUAGUCC
rnacentral:rRNA from 1 species